rnacentral:rRNA from 1 species
CCAAUAGCGUAUAUUAAAGUUGCUGCAGUUAAAAAGCUCGUAGUUGAAUUUCGGGACCAAUAUGUCGGUCGUGCCUCGGUACGUACUGGCAUCGUUGGUUUCUCCCUUCUGACGAACCAUGAUGUCAUUCAUUUGGUGUCAUGGGGAAUCAGGACUGUUACUUUGAAAAAAUUAGAGUGUUUAAAGCAGGCUCACGCUUG